rnacentral:RNase_P_RNA from 1 species
GGCAGCGGGAGGCCGGCCCCCGUGGCGAGAGCCAUGAGGAAAGUCCCCCCACCAGUCGGACAGGUGACCGGGCACAAGCCCGGGGCGGGAGACCGUCGGCUAUGGAACAGCAACGACACGUCGUCGCGGGACCGAUGAGGUGCGCGAAUCCCGAGCGCAAGCGAGGGAGAGUUAACCCACCGAGGGCCCGUCGUGGGCUGUCUUCGACACCCCACGCGCCCCGCGACGGACCGAUGGAACGGCGAAUCCUCACCGGUGCAAGACCGCGUCGACAGGUAGUCCGACGCCGCGCGCGAGCGCUGGACGCGGCCGCUCAGCCGAAUGCCGGCCCGAACAGAAGGGGGCUUACUCCCCGCAGCC